AUUGAAGAAAGCCAUUGAUGUUUGCGGGGCAAGUUUGCCAUAAAAAGAGGAUUUAUUAAAAUUGCAUUCUGUGGUUAUAAAAACUUCAAAGGAGUUUUUAUGCGUGAGGAAAUGUCAGGUAAAUCAAAAUCAACUGCAGCGUGACUCAGCCUCAGAGAGGGGGCUCUGCUGACACUGGUGGGAAUAACAGAGGAGGAUGCAGAGGAAACUGAACUCCGGCACUGCAGUGUCUCCUGGAGAGAUGCAGUAGCCCUAUGACACAGACAGAAAUACAGUUAACCUGUGGCCACACAGCAAUGUGACUGAGCAACUGUUGCCUGGCCUGACAACCUGAGGCGAGACUUGUCUGGAACGGAACUCAGAUGGAAGACCGCUUGUCUGGAUGGUUUGCGUAAACGCUUUGCUCCCAGAGGUACAUCUAACUGGGGAACCUAAACGUAUCCAAAACACCUGGCCACAAGGACGUAUGAGAAGUGUAGAUUUUAGCUUUCAAGCCUUUGCAUAACAGGGAGGCACACUGAC